UACGUAAGAUGCUAGCGUUAUCCGGAAUUACUGGGCGUAAAGGGUGCGUAGGCUGUUGACUAAGUCGGGUGUGAAAUCCUACGGCUUAACCGUAGAACUGCGCCCGAAACUAUUCGACUAGAGUCUGGGAGAGGAAGGCGGAAUUCCUGGUGUAGGAGUGAAAUCUAUAGAUAUCAGGAAGAACACCGGUGGCGAAGGCGGCCUUCUAGCCUAAGACUGACGCUGAGGCACGAAAGCGUGGGGAG
rnacentral:rRNA from 1 species